UCGGAACCAGCCGCUCCUGGAUGGGGAGCCGGCUUUGCAACCUUGGGCAGGUUACUUAGCCUCGGUGUGCCACCUCAGCUGCUCCCUCUGUGAAAUGGGAAUCACGCCCCCAGCUCUGCUGGAGAUGAGGUCACCAGGCGGUGCUGUGCCCUGGCCUGACUGGAGACAAGAGCAUGCAAGGCAGGGUGUGAGCCAAAGACAGGAGCACCGUGCGGGGCACCGUUCCAGGAGCAGGGAGAUGGCGGUGAGCCAGGCAGGCAAGGUGCUCGCCCUUCAUGGAGCUUCUGUUCUACUGAGUGUACAAGGUUCUUUAUCAUCGAGCCCCAGCCUCCCUCCCCAGCCUCAUUUCCUUCUACUCCCCACCUAUGAAACCACUCAAAAUCCCAAGCGUUCCUCCGGACUUCUAUGACUUUGCUGCUACCUCUUCCUGGAAUGUCCUUACUGUCCCUCAUCCACCUGCAGAAGUCUUUGGAGCCCCGCUGGGCUGCUUCUCCUGUGAAACCUUGCCCCCCCCGCCCCCCACCUACCCCUGGGAGAGUUGGUCACCCCUCCUCCUGGGUCUCCCCGGCCCUUUGUACCUACCUCCGCUCAAGUGCUUCUCACGUGCCGCUGGCGUUCUUCGCAUAUAAGCCUCUCCACUCUAUAGGACUGUCUCGAGCGCCCGGCAGAGGGCCUGACAUACACAGGGGCUCAGCGGAUGUUUGCUGAAUGACUGAAUGAAAAUAGCUUUGGGAAAGAGAGUUGUACUGGAAGAGCGAUGGAGGACACUCAAACCUGAGGGGAAGGCCGUCCGCUACCUUAGGGAUCUAAACACUUGAAAGAUACAAGGGAUCUUAUUUGUGGGCUUAAAACUCCUGUCCAAGAUU